ACGUAUUCUUAUACUUCUUUACCCUCUUUUUUAUACAUUCUAUUCAAAGAGGAACAAAUAAACAAUUAAAACAACAAUUUCCUUUCCCAUU
rnacentral:ribozyme from 14 species